GAUGAACGCUGGCGGCGUGCCUAAUACAUGCAAGUCGAGCGAACAGACGAGGAGCUUGCUCCUCUGACGUUAGCGGCGGACGGGUGAGUAACACGUGGAUAACCUACCUAUAAGACUGGGAUAACUUCGGGAAACCGGAGCUAAUACCGGAUAACAUGUUGAACCGCAUGGUUCAACAGUGAAAGACGGUCUUGCUGUCACUUAUAGAUGGAUCCGCGCCGCAUUAGCUAGUUGGUAAGGUAACGGCUUACCAAGGCAACGAUGCGUAGCCGACCUGAGAGGGUGAUCGGCCACACUGGAACUGAGACACGGUCCAGACUCCUACGGGAGGCAGCAGUAGGGAAUCUUCCGCAAUGGGCGAAAGCCUGACGGAGCAACGCCGCGUGAGUGAAGAAGGUCUUCGGAUCGUAAAACUCUUUUAUUAGGGAAGAACAAAUGUGUAAGUAACUAUGCACGUCUUGACGGUACCUAAUCAGAAAGCCACGGCUAACUACGUG
rnacentral:rRNA from 1 species